rnacentral:rRNA from 1 species
UACGUAGGAGACGAGCGUUGUCCGGAAUACUGGGCGUAAAGCGCGUGUAGGCGGAUGAGCAGGUCUGCUGUGAAAGCUCCUGGCUUAACCGGGAGUGGUCGGUGGAAACUGCUCGUCUGGAGGACGGUAGAGGUAGGUAGAAUUCCCGGUGUAGUGGUGAAAUGCGUAGAGAUCGGGAGGAAUACCUGUGGCGAAGGCGGCCUACUGGGCCGGACCUGACGCUGAGACGCGAAGGCGUGGGAGCGAACGGG